rnacentral:rRNA from 1 species
GACGAACGCUGGCGGCAUGCUUAACACAUGCAAGUCGAACGCGCCGCGGACGGGUGAGUAAUGCCUAGGAAUCUGGCUGGUAGUGGGGGAAAACGUCCGGAAAAGGGCGCUAAUUACGCAUACUUUUCGAUGAGCCCAGGUCGGAUUAGCUAGUUGGUGGGGUAACGGCCUACCAAGGCGACGAUCCGUAACGGGUCUGAGAGGAUGAUCAGUCACACUGGAACUGAGACACGGUCCAGACUCCUACGGGAGGCAGCAGUGGGGAAUAUUGGACAAUGGGCGAAAGCCUGAUCCAGCCAUGCCGCGUGUGUGAAGAAGGUCUUCGGAUUGUAAAGCACUUUAAGUUGGGAGGCGUUACCAACAGAAUAAGCACCGGCUAACUUCGUGCCAGCAGCCGCGGUAAUAC